rnacentral:rRNA from 1 species
GGUCCCGCCUGCCCAGUGACUCUUUAAACGGCCGCGGUAUCCUAACCGUGCAAAGGUAGCAUAAUCACUUGUCCCUUAAAUAGGGACUGGAAUGAACGGCUAAAUGAGGACUAAACUGUCUCUUACAGAUAUCAAUGAAAUUAAUCUUCCAGUACAAAAGCUGGAAUAAAUCCAUAAGACGAGAAGACCCUGUGGAGCUUUAAAACCAAGCCACAAAACCUUUAAUGCCUCCUGGUUUUUUAGUUGGGGCGACUUCGGAGCAAAAAAAACCCUCCGAAAACUUUCUUCGUUAUUAAGAUUAACACACCAAAAAUAAUUUUACGACCCAGCAGCUUCUAAAUUUACCUGCCUGAUCAAUGAACCAAGUUACCCCAGGGAUAACAGCGCCAUCCCCUUCUAGAGUCCCUAUCGACAAGGGGGUUUACGACCUCGAUGUUGGAUCAGGACAUCCCAAUGGUGCAGCCGCCAUUAAAGGUUCGUUUGUUCAACGAUUAAAGUCCUA